ACUCGAGUGGCGAACGGGUGAGUAACACGUGAGUAACCUGCCCUUGACUUUGGGAUAACUUCAGGAUACUGGGGCUAAUACCGGAUAGGAGCUCCUGCUGCAUGGUGGGGGUUGGAAAGUUUCGGCGGUUGGGGAUGGACUCGCGGCUUAUCAGCUUGUUGGUGGGGUAGUGGCUUACCAAGGCUUUGACGGGUAGCCGGCCUGAGAGGGUGACCGGCCACAUUGGGACUGAGAUACGGCCCAG
rnacentral:rRNA from 1 species